ensembl:snRNA U2 U2 spliceosomal RNA
CUCGCUUCCGGCCUUUUGGCCAAGAUCAAGUGUAGUAUCUGUUCUUAUCAGUUUAAUAUCUGAUAUGUCUCCUAUCUGGGGACCAUAUAUUAAAUUGCUUUUUGAAACACGGAGAUGGAGUAGGGGCUUGCUCCGUCGUCCUGACAUGAGGACGACGUGAACAACACAAGUCUCAUAUACAGA